rnacentral:rRNA from 1 species
GACGUAGGGUGCAAGCGUUGUCCGGAAUUAUUGGGCGUAAAGAGCUCGUAGGCGGUUUGUCGCGUCUGCUGUGAAAACUCGGGGCUUAACUCCGGGCCUGCAGUGGGUACGGGCAGACUAGAGUGCGGUAGGGGAGACUGGAAUUCCUGGUGUAGCGGUGAAAUGCGCAGAUAUCAGGAGGAACACCGGUGGCGAAGGCGGGUCUCUGGGCCGUAACUGACGCUGAGGAGCGAAAGCAUGGGGAGCGAACAGG